rnacentral:rRNA from 1 species
CAAUGCGACCCCAGGUCAGGCGGGGCUACCCGCUGAGUUUAAGCAUAUCA